CUGAGUACGGCGGAACACGUGAAAUUCCGUCGGAAUCCGGGAGGACCAUCUCCCAAGGCUAAAUACUCCCUAGUGACCGAUAGUGAACCAGUACCGUGAGGGAAAGGUGAAAAGCACCCCGGAAGGGGAGUGAAACAGUUCCUGAAACCGUGUGCCUACAAGUAGUUAGAGCCCGUUAAUGGGUGAUAGCGUGCCUUUUGUAGAAUGAACCGGCGAGUUACGAUUUGUUGCAAGGUUAAGCGGAAAAAGCGGAGCCGUAGCGAAAGCGAGUCUGAAUAGGGCGCAUAAGUAACAGGUCGUAGACCCGAAACCAGGUGAUCUACCCAUGUCCAGGAUGAAGGUAAGGUAAUACUUACUGGAGGUCCGAACCCACGCACGUUGAAAAGUGCGGGGAUGAGGUGUGGGUAGCGGAGAAAUUCCAAUCGAACUUGGAGAUAGCUGGUUCUCUCCGAAAUAGCUUUAGGGCUAGCCUCGAGGUAAAGAGUCAUGGAGGUAGAGCA
rnacentral:rRNA from 1 species